rnacentral:rRNA from 1 species
AGUGAACGCUGGCGGUAGGCCUAACACAUGCAAGUCGAACGGCAGCACAGUAAGAGCUUGCUCUUACGGGUGGCGAGUGGCGGACGGGUGAGGAAUACAUCGGAAUCUACUUUUUCGGGGGGGUUAACGUAGGGAAACUUACGCUCAUACCGCAUACGACCUACGGGUGAAAGCAGGGGAUCUUCGGACCUUGCGCGGUUGAAUGAGCCGCUGUUGGAUUAGCUAGUUGGCGGGGUAAAGGCCCACCAAGUGGACGAUCCGUAGCUGGUCUGAGAGGAUGGUCAGCGACACUGGAGCUGAGACACGGUCCAGACUCCUACGGGAGGCAGCAGUGGGGAAUAUUGGACAAUGGUCGCAAGCCUGAUCCAGCCAUACCGCGUGGGUGAAGAAAGCCUUCGGGUUGUAAAGCCCUUUUGUUGGGAAAGAAAAGCAGCAGGUUAAUACCCCGCUGUUCUGACGGUACCCAAAGAAUAAGCACCGGCUAACUUCGUG